AUUGAACGCUGGCGGCAGGCCUAACACAUGCAAGUCGAGCGAGCGGCGGACGGGUGGGCAAUGUAUGGGGACUGCCCGAUAGAGGGGGAUAACUACUGGAAACGGUGGCUAAUACCGCAUACUAUCGGCUAACCGAUCUGGUUUUAGCUAGUAGGGGGGGUAAAGGCUCACCUAGGCGACGAGCUCUAGCUGGUCUGAGAGGAUGAUCAGCCACACUGGGAAUGAGACAAGGCCCAGACUCCUACGGAGGCAGCAGUGGGGAAUAGUGCACCAUGGGCGCAAGCCUGAUGCAGCCAUGCCGCGUGUAUGAAGAAGGCCUUAGGGUUGUAAAGUACUUUCAGCGGGGAGGCGUGACCCGCAGAAGAAGCACCGGCUAACCCCGUGCCAGCAGCCGCGGUAAUAC
rnacentral:rRNA from 1 species